rnacentral:rRNA from 1 species
GAUGAACGCUAGCUACAGGCUUAACACAUGCAAGUCGCGGGGCAGCAUGGGGGUUGCUUGCAAUCCCCGAUGGCGACCGGCGCACGGGUGAGUAACGCGUAUCCAACCUGCCCUUCACCACGGGAUAACCCGGCGAAAGUCGGACUAAUACCGUAUGUUGUCCAUUGACGGCAUCCGAUUUGGACGAAAGGUUUGGCGGUGAAGGAUGGGGAUGCGUCCGAUUAGCUGGACGGCGGGGUGACGGCCCACCGUGGCGACGAUCGGUAGGGGUUCUGAGAGGAAGGUCCCCCACACUGGAACUGAGACACGGUCCAGACUCCUACGGGAGGCAGCAGUGAGGAAUAUUGGUCAAUGGGCGUAAGCCUGAACCAGCCAAGUAGCGUGCAGGAUGACGGCCCUAUGGGUCGUAAACUGCUUUUAUGCGGGGAUAAAGUGGCCCACGUGUGGGUUUUUGCAGGUACCGCAUGAAUAAGGACCGGCUAAUUCCGU